GACGAACGCUGGCGGCGUGCUUAACACAUGCAAGUCGAACGGAAAGGCCCCUUUGGGGGUCCUUGAGUGGCGAACGGGUGAGUAACACGUGAGUAACCUUCCCUUGCCUUCGGGUUAACUUCAGGAAACUGGGGCUAAUACCGGUUAGGCAUCCUUGCUGCAUGGUGGGGGUUGGAAAGCUUCUGGGGCUUUGGAUGGACUCGCGGCGUAUAAGCUUGUUGGUGGGGUAGUGGGUUACCAAGGCGCUGACGGGUCGCGGGCCAGAGAGGGCGAGCGGCCACACUGGGACUGGCAGGCGGCCGCGGCGCCGACGGGAGGAAACAGGGGGGAAGACUGAACAAGGGGCGGAAGCCUGAUGAAGAAAGGCCGCGUGCUGGAUAACGGUCUUCGUGGUGAAAACCGCUUUCAGCAGGAGCGAAGGUUGUGGUGACGGUACCUGCAGAAGAAGCACCGGCUAACUACGUG
rnacentral:rRNA from 1 species